rnacentral:misc_RNA from 1 species
GAUGAAGAACGUAGCGAAAUGCGAUACUUGGUGUGAAUUGCAGAAUCCCGUGAACCAUCGAGUCAUUGAACGCAAGUUGCGCCCGAAGCCAUUAGGCCGAGGGCACGCCUGCCUGGGCGUCACACGUCGUUGCCCCCCCAUCUACUCCUUCGGGAUUGCGGGGGGCGGAUGAUGGCCUCCCGUGCGCCUCGUCGCGCGGUUGGCAUAAAUGCCAAGUCCUCGGCGACGCACGCCACGACAAUCGGUGGUUGCGAAACCUCGGUUGCCCGUCGUGUGCGGUCGUCGCGCAUCGAGGGCUCGAAAAAAUUGCCGGGCUCCGGCUCGGCUUUCAACGCGACCCCAGGUCAGGCGGGGUUACCCGCUGAAUUUAAGCAUAUCAAUAAGCGGAGGA